AACGAACGCUGGCGGCAUGCCUAACACAUGCAAGUCGAACGAGACCUUCGGGUCUAGUGGCGCACGGGUGCGUAACGCGUGGGAACCUGCCCUUAGGUUCGGAAUAACUCCCCGAAAGGGGUGCUAAUACCGGAUAAUGUCUUCGGACCACAGAUUUAUCGCCUUUGGAUGGGCCCGCGUUGGAUUAGCUAGUUGGUAGGGUAAAAGCCUACCAAGGCGACGAUCCAUAGCUGGUCUGAGAGGAUGAUCAGACACACUGGGACUGAGACACGGCCCAGACUCCUACGGGAGGCAGCAGUGGGGAAUAUUGGACAAUGGGCGAAAGCCUGAUCCAGCAAUGCCGCGUGAGUGAUGAAGGCCUUAGGGUUGUAAAGCUCUUUUACCCGGGAUGAUAAUGACAGUACCGGGAGAAUAAGCUCCGGCUAACUCCGUG
rnacentral:rRNA from 1 species